rnacentral:rRNA from 1 species
GGACUACCGGGGUAUCUAAUCCUGUUCGCUCCCCUAGCUUUCGCGCCUCAGCGUCAGAUGCCAGCCAGGACACUGCCUUCGCCUUUGGUAUUCCUCCGGAUAUCUACGCAUUUCACCACUCCACCCGGAAUUCUAUGUCCCUCUCUGGCCCUCAAGUCUCACAGUUUUCGGUAGGCCUCUCCCAGUUAAGCCGGGAACUGUCACUCCGAACUUACAAGACCGCCUGCACGCCCUUUACGCCCAGUAACUCCGGACAACGCUCGCCCCCUACGUAUUACCGCGGCUGCUGGCAC